AUUGAACGCUGGCGGCAGGCCUAACAAAUGCAAGUCGGACGAGCGGCGGACGGGUGCGUAAGGUAUGGGGAUCUGCCAGAUGGAGGGGGAUAACUACUGGAACCGGUAGCUAAUACAGAAUACCAUCAGAUGAACGCAUAUGGGAUUCGCUUGUAGGUGAGGUAACGGCUCACAUAGGCGACGAUCCAUAGCUGGUCAGAGAGGAUGAUCAGCCACACUGGUACUGAGACACGGCCCAGACUCCUACGGGAGGCAGCAGUGGGGAAUAUUGCACAAUGGGCGCAAGCCUGAUGCAGCCAUGCCGCGUGUAUGAAGAAGGCCUUCGGGUUGUAAAGUACUUUCAGUCGGGAGGCGUUACCGACAGAAGAAGCACCGGCUAACUCCGUGCCAGCAGCCGCGGUAAUUC
rnacentral:rRNA from 1 species